GGGGCGAUAGUUCAACAGGAGAACGCUGCACUCGCACUGCAGGGAUCGGGGUGCGAUUCCCCGUCGCUCCA
rnacentral:tRNA from 1 species